GAUGAACGCUGGCGGCGUGCCUAAUACAUGCAAGUCGAGCGAACGGACGAGAAGCUUGCUUCUCUGAUGUUAGCGGCGGACGGGUGAGUAACACGUGGAUAACCUACCUAUAAGACUGGGAUAACUUCGGGAAACCGGAGCUAAUACCGGAUAAUAUUUUGAACCGCAUGGUUCAAAAGUGAAAGACGGUCUUGCUGUCACUUAUAGAUGGAUCCGCGCUGCAUUAGCUAGUUGGUAAGGUAACGGCUUACCAAGGCAACGAUGCAUAGCCGACCUGAGAGGGUGAUCGGCCACACUGGAACUGAGACACGGUCCAGACUCCUACGGGAGGCAGCAGUAGGGAAUCUUCCGCAAUGGGCGAAAGCCUGACGGGCAACGCCGCGUGAGUGAUGAAGGUCUUCGGAUCGUAAAACUCUGUUAUUAGGGAAGAACAUAUGUGUAAGUAACUGUGCACAUCUUGACGGUACCUAAUCAGAAAGCCACGGCUAACUACGUG
rnacentral:rRNA from 1 species